AGCGAACGCUGGCGGCAGGCUUAACACAUGCAAGUCGAGCGGGCAUCUUCGGAUGUCAGCGGCAGACGGGUGAGUAACACGUGGGAACAUACCCUUCGGUUCGGAACAACUCUGGGAAACUGGAGCUAAUACCGGAUACGCCCUUAUGGGGAAAGGUUUACUGCCGAAGGAUCGGCCCGCGUCUGAUUAGCUAGUUGGUGGGGUAACGGCCUACCAAGGCGACGAUCAGUAGCUGGUCUGAGAGGAUGAUCAGCCACACUGGGACUGAGACACGGCCCAGACUCCUACGGGAGGCAGCAGUGGGGAAUAUUGGACAAUGGGCGCAAGCCUGAUCCAGCCAUGCCGCGUGAGUGAUGAAGGCCUUAGGGUUGUAAAGCUCUUUUGUCCGGGACGAUAAUGACGGUACCGGAAGAAUAAGCCCCGGCUAACUUCGUG
rnacentral:rRNA from 1 species